rnacentral:rRNA from 1 species
UUGGAAAGAGGAGUGGCGGACGGGUGAGUAACACGUGGGUAACCUACCCAUCAGAGGGGGAUAACACUUGGAAACAGGUGCUAAUACCGCAUAACAGUUUAUGCCGCAUGGCAUAAGAGUGAAAGGCGCUUUCGGGUGUCGCUGAUGGAUGGACCCGCGGUGCAUUAGCUAGUUGGUGAGGUAACGGCUCACCAAGGCCACGAUGCAUAGCCGACCUGAGAGGGUGAUCGGCCACACUGGGACUGAGACACGGCCCAGACUCCUAUGGGAGGCAGCAGUAGGGAAUCUUCGGCAAUGGACGAAAGUCUGACCGAGCAACGCCGCGUGAGUGAAGAAGGUUUUCGGAUCGUAAAACUCUGUUGUUAGAGAAGAACAAGGACGUUAGUAACUGAACGUCCCCUGACGGUAUCUAACCAGAAAGCCACGGCUAACUACGUGCCAGCAGCCGCGGU